CGUAGUAGUAGUUUCGACUCGUCGCUACAGGACACGCUGGCGGCUGCCUAAUACAUGCAAGUCGAGCGAACCGAAGGAGCUUGCUCCUUUAGGUUAGCGGCGGACGGGUGAGUAACACGUGGCAACCUGCCCUGCAGACUGGGAUAACUUCGGGAAACCGGAGCUAAUACCGGAUAACACUGAAAACCGCAUGGUUUUCGGUUGAAAGGCGGCUUUUAGCUGUCACUGCAGGAUGGGCCCGCGGCGCAUUAGCUAGUUGGUGAGGUAACGGCUCACCAAGGCGACGAUGCGUAGCCGACCUGAGAGGGUGACCGGCCACACUGGGACUGAGACACGGCCCAGACUCCUACGGGAGGCAGCAGUAGGGAAUCUUCCGCAAUUGACGAAAGUCUGACGGAGCAACGCCGCGUGAGCGAAGAAGGUCUUCGGAUCGUAAAGCUCUGUUGUCAGGGAAGAACAAGUACCGUUCGAACAGGGCGGUACCUUGACGGUACCUGACGAGGAAGCCACGGCUAACUACGUG
rnacentral:rRNA from 1 species